GGUGAACGCUGGCGGCGUGCCUAAUACAUGCAAGUCGAGCGAACGGACGAGAAGCUUGCUUCUCUGAUGUUAGCGGCGGACGGGUGAGUAACACGUGGAUAACCUACCUAUAAGACUGGGAUAACUUCGGGAAACCGGAGCUAAUACCGGAUAAUAUUUUGAACCGCAUGGUUCAAAAGUGAAAGACGGUCUUGCUGUCACUUAUAGAUGGAUCCGCGCUGCGUUAGCUAGUUGGUAAGGUAACGGCUUACCAAGGCAACGAUGCAUAGCCGACCUGAGAGGGUGAUCGGCCACACUGGAACUGAGACACGGUCCAGACUCCUACGGGAGGCAGCAGUAGGGAAUCUUCCGCAAUGGGCGAAAGCCUGACGGAGCAACGCCGCGUGAGUGAUGAAGGUCUUCGGAUCGUAAAACUCUGUUAUUAGGGAAGAACAUAUGUGUAAGUAACUGUGCACAUCUUGACGGUACCUAAUCAGAAAGCCACGGCUAACUACGU
rnacentral:rRNA from 1 species